UACGAAGGGGGCAAGCGUUGUUCGGAAUUACUGGGCGUAAAGGGCGCGUAGGCGGCCGAUCAAGUCAGGCGUGAAAUUCCCGGGCUCAACCUGGGGGCUGCGCUUGAUACUGAUUGGCUUGAAUGCGGGAGAGGAUAGUGGAAUUCCCAGUGUAGAGGUGAAAUUCGUAGAUAUUGGGAAGAACACCAGUGGCGAAGGCGGCUAUCUGGCCCGUUAUUGACGCUGAGGCGCGAAAGCG
rnacentral:rRNA from 1 species